GUCACGAUAGCUUAGGUGGUAGAGUAGCGGCAUAUCGAGCCGAAGGUCGUGGGUUCGAAUCCCGCUCGUGACA
rnacentral:tRNA from 13 species